GCAAGUUCAAAGCCAGCCUUAGCUAUUUAGUGAGGCUCUAAGCAACUCAGUGAGAUCUUGUCUCUAAUAAAAUACAAAAUAGGGCUGGGGAUGUGGUUCAGUGGUCAAGUGCCCCUGAGUUCAAUCCCCUGGCACCCCCUUCCCCCCAAAAAAUAGUGUUAAAUUUUGUCACCUAAUUUUUCUACAUCUAUAGGGAGAAUAAAUUUUUUUUUACUACUGAGCUAUCUCUAACCCUAUUUAUUGUUUUAUUUUGAGACAGGGUAUUGCUAAGUUGCCCAAGCUGGGCUUAAAUUUGCAAUUCUUCUAAAGGUAUGCACCACUUCACUUAGUGGGUCAUGUGUCUUGUGGACUGAGUGUUGUGUAUUCUCCCAAAAGUUAUAUGUUGGAGCCUAAUUCUUAAUGUUUUGAUGUUUGAAGAUGGUGCAUUUGGAAGGUAGUUAGGCUUAGAUAAGGUCAUGAGGUUGAGAUGCUCAUGAUGGGAACGUCCUUAUGAGAGAAUGAACAAACCAGAGCUUCUUUUGUUAAUGAGAACACAAGUAUUGUGUGUAAGAGAUCCUUACUAGUAAAGUGAAUUGGUUGGCGCCUUGUUCUUCCUAGCCUUCCAAAUUGUAAAAAUAAAUUUCUCCUCUUGGAGCCACUCAAUCUAUGGCAUUUUGUUAUGGGAGCAUGACUUGGCUAAAAUAUGUGUGCAUUUGUAUAUAUGUAUCUUUCUGUGUGUUUAGCAUCUUUGUCAGAUGUUGGUAUCAAAGUCAUUAUCCUCUUAUUAGAUGCAGAAAAAAAAAACUUAAAAAUACUUUAAAAAAUGACUAAAACACUCAAACUAGGAAUAAAAGUAUAUUUUUCUCAACACGGUAAAGGAUAUCUAUAAAAAAAGCCACAACAAAUGUCUCAUUUAAUGGUGAAAAAGAGUGUUUCCCUCAAAGGUUAGAAACAAGGCAGGAAUGUUGUUCUUACCAAUUCUGUCCAUUGUUGUCCUAGAACUUAUAGCCAGAACAAUUAAGCAAGAAAAAGGAAGAAAAUCAUCUAUUGGAAAGAGGUUAGUUAUUUCUGUUUACAAAUAACAUAAUAUAUAUAGAAAAUCAAGAGGAAUAAAUAAAUCUUUUAGAACUCAUAAAUGAGAUCAGCAAGUUUCCAUGGUAUAAUAGCAAUAUACAAAAAUCGAUUGUAUGUCUAAAUACCGGCAAUGAACAAUCUGAAAGUCAAAUUAAGAAAAUAAAUUUUAUUUACAGAAUACCAAAAUCAAAUAAAAAUAAAUUUAACAAAGACAGUAUAAAAAUUAUACCCC
rnacentral:lncRNA from 1 species